rnacentral:lncRNA from 1 species
UUCCUUUGCUUGUGUGAAGGCAAACCCUGAGUGUUAUCUGCAGAAGCUAUUAAAGAAUUAGAUAUAAUUAGCUCACGACUCUCCACUGUAAAGAGCAAUACUGCUCUGAAGAUUUGCAUUUGCAGAACCUGUGGAGACCAGAAAUCUGGCCAAGGAAAAGCUUGCUGCACUCCCCUGGAGGAUUGACCCCUAAGCCACAACCCUUGUAGUUAUGGUCUAAGGUGGCUACCUGCUUGUCUGGACAAACAUCCAUUGCCUCUGAGGAGAUGAGGCCCAG